rfam:Ornithorhynchus anatinus chromosome 6, whole genome shotgun sequence.
AACCCCUUAGGCUUGCACCUGGAGAAUUUUCAGUACUCUACCAGUCUCGACUACAGAAGGGAGAGUCAAGCAGGGGCUCCAUUCCAUUCCUAGCUUGGGCAGUGGCUAGUGAGUGGAAGGCAGUCUGCUACAAGU